ACAUACGACCAUAGGGUGUGGAAAUCAGGGCUUCCCGUCCGCUCAGCCGUACUUAAGCCACACGCCGGCCGGUUAGUAGUUGGGUGGGUGACCACCAGCGAAUCCCGGCUGUUGUAUGUU
rnacentral:rRNA from 1 species